GAUGAACGCUGGCGGCGUGCCUAAUACAUGCAAGUCGAGCGAACAGACGAGGAGCUUGCUCCUCUGACGUUAGCGGCGGACGGGUGAGUAACACGUGGAUAACCUACCUAUAAGACUGGGAUAACUUCGGGAAACCGGAGCUAAUACCGGAUAAUAUAUUGAACCGCAUGGUUCAAUAGUGAAAGACGGUUUUGCUGUCACUUAUAGAUGGAUCCGCGCCGCAUUAGCUAGUUGGUAAGGUAACGGCUUACCAAGGCAACGAUGCGUAGCCGACCUGAGAGGGGGAUCGGCCACACUGAAACUGAGACACGGUCCAGACUCCUACGGGAGGCAGCGGUAGGAAAUCUUCCGAAAUGGGCGAAAGCCUGACGGAGCAACGCCGCGUGAGUGAUGAAGUUCUUCGGAUCGUAAAACUCUGUUAUUGGGGAAGAACAAAUGUGUAAGUAACUAUGCACGUCUGGACGGUACCUAAUCAGAAGGCCACGGCUAACUACGG
rnacentral:rRNA from 1 species